UUUCGCGUUCGGGUUGUUAUCCACAAUCGCAUUACCCACCGCGUGGAGCAAGUGAGUUUUACCCAGACCAGUACCACCAUA
rfam:Vibrio sp. EJY3 chromosome 1, complete sequence.